CGCCUGUUUAUCAAAAACAUCUUUUCUUGUUAGUUUUUGAAGUAUGGCCUGCCCGCUGACUUUAGUGUUGAAGGGCCGCGGUAUUUUGACCGUGCAAAGGUAGCAUAGUCAUUAGUUCUUUAAUUGUGAUCUGGUAUGAAUGGCUUGACGAGGCAUGGGCUGUCUUAAUUUUGAAUUGCUUAUUGAAUUUGGUCUUUGAGUUAAAAUUCUUAGAUGUUUUUAUGGGACGAGAAGACCCUAUAGAGUUUGACAUUUAUUAUGGUCUCUUUUCUGUUUGUGAGGGUUCACUGGGCCNUUUAAUGUGUUUUGUUGGGGUGAUGGGAGGGAUAUAGUUUAACCCCUCCUUUGUGUUGUUAUAUUUAUUUAUAUUUGCUUGAUCCAUUUAUUUUGAUUGUAAGAUUAAAUUACCUUAGGGAUAACAGCGUAA
rnacentral:rRNA from 1 species